UGGAUCACCUCCUAACAGGGAGACGACAAAAUGUUUAAUAUUAUUAUUUUGUCACCUUAGGUCGAUCGGUAUCUCACGUUUUUAAUUUAUUAAGAAUUUCAUUUCCUAAGUUUUUCUAGGUCACACCCAUUAUUUUUCCUGGGCCAUUAGCUCAGGUGGUUAGAGCGCACCCCUGAUAAGGGUGAGGUCCCUGGUUCAAGUCCAGGAUGGCCCAUAUCUCUAUGUUGGGGGUAUAGCUCAGUUGGUAGAGCGCCUGCUUUGCAAGCAGGAUGUCAGCGGUUCGAGUCCGCUUACCUCCACUGAUUACCACCUCUUCCAUAACCGGUAGAAAGGAAAUGUUUUGAGUCGUGAUCAAAUUCUGAAAGAAUCUAGCUUCCUAAUGAAAUCAUUAAGAUGCUGGACUCAUUGAAUUAAUUCCAUUGUUUUCAGAGAACCUUGACAACUGCAUAGAUUAUUUUUUAAAGACAAUAAGCAUCUUUAAUGAUGCAGAUUUAUUAUUUGUGCGAAUGCAUUAAUAACAAUUCUAUUAAGCUGAUGCUUCAAUUUUUGAAGUUAUUGGUCAAGCUACAAAGGGCUCACGGAGGAUACCUAGGCACACAGAGGCGAUGAAGG
rnacentral:tRNA from 1 species